rnacentral:rRNA from 1 species
GCAAGUCGAGCGAUGAACUCUUGACAGAACCCUUCGGGGUGAAGAUAAGUUGGAUUAGCGGCGGACGGGUGCGUAACACGUGAGUAACCUGCCUUAGACAUUGGGAUAGCCUCGGGAAACCGGGAUUAAUACCAAAUGAAAUCACAUAUGCACAUACAUAAAUGAUCAAAGCUCCGGCGGUCUAAGAUGGACUCGCGUCCCAUUAGCUAGUUGGUGAGGUAACGGCCCACCAAGGCGACGAUGGGUAGCCGGCCUGAGAGGGUGAAC